rnacentral:lncRNA from 1 species
AACAAUUGGCACCGCCUUCUUCCCCAGACCCCGGACAUCCGGUGUACCAACUUGCCUAAACUCAGCUGGUGAUCUGAUAUCAAGCAACUGAGCAUUGGCAUCAUCGCCCAAUUUUGCGUAAGCAUUUCUUGCAGUAUCAACACCCCAUGGCUUGGGAGGCUUCAGAACCUGAGACAAAACCAGGGGAACAGCCAAAAUGGCAAAACCACCAGCUAUAACUGCAGGGUUCUCAGUCACAAAAGCAGUAACAUUAUCAAGAAUCCCACUUGCUUCCAAGUCUCCACCUGUACUGGUACUCACAGAUUGCCCCAAUGCUUCUUCAUAUGUCAAAGCUUUGGCAAACCCAGUAUUGAAAACAGAAGAUAAAAGCAACAGGCCACCAUGAAAGCUCCUAGAUGAAGACUCCUGUGAAGCUUGUGGGGUGGUGCUAAGACUUGUGGAAUUUGAGAAUUUGGGUAGGGAAA